rnacentral:rRNA from 1 species
GACGAACGCUGGCGGCGUGCUUAACACAUGCAAGUCGAACGCUGAAGCUUGGUGCUUGCACUGGGUGGAUGAGUGGCGAACGGGUGAGUAAUACGUGAGUAACCUGCCCUUGACUCUGGGAUAAGCCUGGGAAACUGGGUCUAAUACUGGAUACGACAUGCCACUGCAUGGUGGUGUGUGGAAAGGGUUUUACUGGUUUUGGAUGGGCUCACGGCCUAUCAGCUUGUUGGUGGGGUAAUGGCCUACCAAGGCGACGACGGGUAGCCGGCCUGAGAGGGUGACCGGCCACACUGUGACUGAGACACGGCCCAGACUCCUACGGGAGGCAGCAGUGGGGAAUAUUGCACAAUGGGCGGAAGCCUGAUGCAGCGACGCCGCGUGAGGGAUGACGGCCUUCGGGUUGUAAACCUCUUUCAGCACGGAAGAAGCGAGAGUGACGGUACGUGCAGAAGAAGCGCCGGCUAACUACGU